rnacentral:lncRNA from 1 species
CAGAUUCUUUGUGGAAAAGACUGUCUCUUGUGAACUUCAGUCUAUUAUUAGACUAUUCCAGAGCAAUGUCAGGUUUUAAGGUUUGAACUUCAACAAACGACAACUUAACCUAGAAAUUCGGAUAUGGUGAUCAUGGAUGGUAAGUGUUUUUUAAGCCCAAUACAAUUAUAGAAACAAUUUUAUCCAU